ensembl:lncRNA
UAUGCUCUCAUAAAUCAUUAAUCACAUAUAUAAUACACUAUACUGUAAUACAUAGUAAUUUAUACCUAAUCAUGGCUAUUAUACUGUAAAAAAAAAUGCUGUAAAAAAAAAAAAAACAGUUAAAUUCAGGAAGUAAAAUAUGUUUUUCAUAAUAAACUAUAUAUUCUGGGCAGUGUUUAGUGAUCAGUAUGACCACUAAGUUGCACAUAUAUUUGGAUAAAGAAAAUAAUGCUUUUGUUUAUUUGAAUGAAACCAUGGCCUCUAUGGAUUCAUAAAAUGCAGGCUGGUAGCUACCAUCACUUGAAAGUCAAAAAAAGCAUAUACAUGCAACACAAAAUUACCUGUUGAACAUUAUUUACAACAUUAUUACAUGUAGCCUCGGGCAAACGGUCCUGAGUGAUGUCCGGUUUGAAAACAAAUUAUUCUUUUGAACUGGUUCUUUGUAGUUUAACUGGAUGAACCAGUUCACCAAAUCAGACUAAAUGAUUCUCUAACAGUUUGCGGCUUGAGCUUGAGACUCGAAAUGAGCCAAUAUAGUGCCAGCGUAUUAUGAUUGCAUGAUGAUGGACUUUGCCAUCUCAUUCAGCACUCCAGUUCCUCCAACAUUACACUGAGGGAACAGUUCGGACUCAGACCAAAGAACCGAUGAGCUGCAGAUAUGAGCUAGAGUGAACCAAGCACUUGAAUAAAGUGGUGAAAUGAACGUUUUUAUGGUUCAAGUAAAAAGGUUGCAGCGACCGAUAUCUGUGUGUUUUCCGCUCCAUCCCUCCGGACUGUUUCUCCAUGCCCGUGCCGCAGCUCAGAUGGGGGCAGACUUAAGUGCAGCAGCGGUUGUCUGGCACGUUAACGCGCGCGGCAGGUCUCUCUGGCGGGCCAUCCCGAACACGGGAUGCUGAACGGGAGCCGCGAGGGUUUGUUUGAACUGGGCAGGCAGCUCCAGCAGGAAGGAGACUCACAAGCUGCUCUGCACUGCUUUUUGAGCUGCCUGCUGGGGCUCACACAUGUGCAGAGCUUCCACUCGCUUCCCAACUGCCUGCAUCAGAUCGCUGAACUCUACAUUGAUGACAAGAACUAUGGGAAAGCUCUACAGUUUAUUCAGGCGGAGAAGAUGUUUUACGAAGUGGCAUUGAUCGAGCUCACCUCGCUGCAGGCCAGCACAGGGUCUCAGGAAGACGGACCAUUGGGAACGUCAGGAUGUCUGUCUCAAGAGGAGUUAUCAGAACAGGCUUCACAGGCCCAGGAUCUUGAGAGACUGGCUCAGCUCUGCAUCAUGAGCAAAAGACCUCACCUUGCUUUAGAAUACAGUGGCAAGGCCACUAAAAUCCACCAGAGGGCUUUUGGUAACGAUCACCCUAUCACAGCCCGGAGUCUGGAGCUGCUAGCCACUGUCUAUGCAGAGAUCGGCAAAACAGAAUAUACAAAUUCAUUGGGAGAGUGCGUGUCGACUCUUUCCAAAAGGUUCUCAGCCACCGAGUCAUUCAGUGACGCUCUGAGUAGCAUCUCUCAUAGCCAUAAGGACAGACACUCUGAGCUGCGACACAGAAAAGAGCCAUACAUACAACAGGAAACUCCUAAAACAAAGGUCAUAAAUGAAAAACUGCCCACCUCUAUUCUGAAAAGGUCCAACAUGAGCAAUGUGGAGUCAGACUUAUUGCGCAAGCGAAAAACCGAGAGGCGGGUUCGCUUCAGAGAGCCGGAGAUCACUGUUCAUGUCUAUGACACUCCCCAGAGCCGUUUGCACCUGACCCUGCUCACCUGCCUGUUCCUGCUUCUGUCUGCGCUGGGUCUAGCACUGUACUGCACGGACCGCCGGAGACCCCAGCGUGCCUGCGAAGAGCUGCAGACGGCACUGGCUGUGUACCUGCUUCAGUUCAAACAGAUCGUCUGGGCCUGCUGGAUCUGGCUGACCAUGCAAUGA